rnacentral:rRNA from 1 species
GCCAGACUCCUACGGGAGGCAGCAGUCGGGAAUUUUCGUCCAUGGGCGCAAGCCUGCACGAGCGAUGCCGCUUGAGUGACGCCGGCCUUCGGGUCUUCCCGCUCUGUUGCUUUUGAAAAAAGGCCGCCUCAGGAACUUUUUUCUGACUGCUUGUGCCCCGCCAUCCCGUCACGGCUACCUCCUUGCCAGCAUCCUCGGUAAUACGUCGGUUUCGAGCGUUAUCCGGAAUGAUUGGGCGUAAAGGGUGCGCAGGCGGUCGUGCAAGUCUGGAGGGAAACGCAGGAGAGCAACUCAUGCAUGGCUUUGGAAACUGGAGGACUGGAGAGCAGGAGAGGGCGGUGGAACUCCAUGUGUAGCGGUAAAAUGCGUAGAGAGAGGGAAGAACACCAGUGGCGAAGGCGGCCGCCUGGCCUGUUGCUGACGCUGAGGCACGAAAGCGUGGGGAGCAAAUAGGAUUAGAUACCCGAGUA